GGCCGGUUAGCUCAGUUGGUUAGAGCGUCGUUGCUAAUAACGCGAAGGUCGCGGGUUCGAUACCCGGUACUGGCCA